CAUGCAAGUCGAACGGUGAAGCCAAGCUUGCUUGGUGGAUCAGUGGCGAACGGGUGAGUAACACGUGAGCAACCUGCCCUGGACUCUGGGAUAAGCGCUGGAAACGGCGUCUAAUACUGGAUAUGAGCUCCUUCCGCAUGGUGGGGGUUGGAAAGAUUUUUCGGUCUGGGAUGGGCUCGCGGCCUAUCAGCUUGUUGGUGAGGUAAUGGCUCACCAAGGCGUCGACGGGUAGCCGGCCUGAGAGGGUGACCGGCCACACUGGGACUGAGACACGGCCCAGACUCCUACGGGAGGCAGCAGUGGGGAAUAUUGCACAAUGGGCGGAAGCCUGAUGCAGCAACGCCGCGUGAGGGAUGACGGCCUUCGGGUUGUAAACCUCUUUUAGCAGGGAAGAAGCGAAAGUGACGGUACCUGCAGAAAAAGCGCCGGCUAACUACGUGCCAGCAGCCGCGGUAAUACGUAGGGCGCAAGCGUUAUCCGGAAUUAUUGGGCGUAAAGAGCUCGUAGGCGGUUUGUCGCGUCUGCUGUGAAAUCCCGAGGCUCAACCUCGGGCCUGCAGUGGGUACGGGCAGACUAGAGUGCGGUAGGGGAGAUUGGAAUUCCUGGUGUAGCGGUGGAAUGCGCAGAUAUCAGGAGGAACACCGAUGGCGAAGGCAGAUCUCUGGGCCGUAACUGACGCUGAGGAGCGAAAGGGUGGGGAGCAAACAGGCUUAGAUACCCUGGUAGUCCACCCCGUAAACGUUGGGAACUAGUUGUGGGGACCAUUCCACGGUUUCCGUGACGCAGCUAACGCAUUAAGUUCCCCGCCUGGGGAGUACGGCCGCAAGGCUAAAACUCAAAGGAAUUGACGGGGACCCGCACAAGCGGCGGGAGCAUGCGGAUUAAUUUCGAUGCANCGCGAAGANCCUUACCAAAGGCUUGACAUAUACGAGAACGGCCCAGAAAUGGUCAACUCUUUGGACACUCGUAAAC
rnacentral:rRNA from 1 species